AUUGAACGCUGGCGGCAUGCUUUACACAUGCAAGUCGAACGGCAGCGGGGGCUUCGGCCUGCCGGCGAGUGGCGAACGGGUGAGUAGCGCGUGGGAACCUGCCUAGUCGUGGGGGAUAACCGAGGGAAACUUCGGCUAAUACCGCAUACGCCGGGGCUCUUGAGAGAGGGUUUCGGGAAAGAUUUAUCGCGAUUAGAGGGGCCCGCGUCGGAUUAGCUAGUUGGUGGGGUAACGGCCUACCAAGGCAGUGAUCCGUAGCUGGUCUGAGAGGAUGAUCAGCCACACUGGGACUGAGACACGGCCCAGACUCCUACGGGAGGCAGCAGUGGGGAAUAUUGGACAAUGGGCGCAAGCCUGAUCCAGCAAUGCCGCGUGAGUGAGGAAGGCCUUAGGGUUGUAAAGCUCUUUCACCCGCGACGAUGAUGACGGUAGCGGGAGAAGAAGCCCCGGCUAACUUCGUG
rnacentral:rRNA from 1 species